AUUCUUUGAUGAUAAAAUCAUGACGGUCUUCAUAAAACAAAUUGCUGAGGAACCUUGACUCUUUUCACAAAAUGUGAAAAUACUGACAUU
rnacentral:snoRNA from 1 species